AAUUUUGGCCAAUGGGGGCAACCCUGAUCCAGCCAUCCCGCGUGUGCGCUGAAGGCCUUCGGGUUGUAAAGCACUUGUGGCAGGGAAGAAAAGCCGCGGGCCAAUACCUCGCGGUUCUGCCGGUACCUGCAGAAUAAUCACCGGCUAACUACGUGCCAGCAGCCGCGGUAAUACGUAGGGUGCAAGCGUUAAUCGGAAUUACUGGGCGUAAAGCGUGCGCAGGCGGUUUGGCAAGAAGGAUGUGAAAUCCCGAGGCUUAACCUCGGAACUGCAUUCUUAACUGCCAGGCUAGAGUAUGUCAGAGGGGGGUAGAAUUCCACGUGUAGCAGUGAAAUGCGUAGAGAUGUGGAGGAAUACCGAUGGCGAAGGCAGCCCCCUGGGAUAAUACUGACGCUCAUGCACGAAAGCGUGGGGAGCAAACA
rnacentral:rRNA from 1 species